rnacentral:rRNA from 1 species
GACGAACGCUGGCGGCGUGCUUAACACAUGCAAGUCGACCGAGUGGCGAACGGGUGAGUAACAAGUGGGUGAUCUGCCUUGCACUCUGGGAUAAGCUUGGGAAACUGGGUCUAAUACCGGAUAUUGCAAGCUGAGCUCGCGGCCUAUCAGCUUGUUGGUGGGGUAAUGGCUACAAAGGCGCGACGGGUAGCCGGCCGGAGAGGGUGUACGGCCACAGUGGGACUGAGUGACGGCCCAGCCUCCUACGGCAGGCAGCAGUGGGGAAUUUUUGACAAUGGGGGAAACCCUGAUCCAGCCAUCCCGCGUGUGCGAUGAAGGCCUUCGGGUUGUAAAGCACUUUUGGCAGGAAAACGGUACCUGCAGAAUAAGCACCGGCUAACUACGUGCCAGCAGCCGCGGUAAUAC